rnacentral:rRNA from 1 species
GAUGAACGCUAGCGGCAGGCUUAACACAUGCAAGUCGAGGGGCAGCAUAAACAUUGCUUGCAAUGUUUGAUGGCGACCGGCGCACGGGUGCGUAACGCGUAGGCAACCUGCCCUCAAGACUGGGAUAACUACCGGAAACGGUAGCUAAUACCGGAUAAUUUCUUUCCUCUCCUGAAGAGAGAAUGAAAGGCGGAGCAAUCUGCUACUUGGGGAUGGGCCUGCGGCGCAUUAGCUAGUUGGUGGGGUAAUGGCUCACCAAGGCGGCGAUGCGUAGCCGACCUGAGAGGGUGAGCGGCCACACUGGGACUGAGACACGGCCCAG